rnacentral:rRNA from 1 species
CCUACGGGUGGCAGCAGUCGAGAAUCAUUCACAAUGGGGGAAACCCUGAUGGUGCGACGCCGCGUGGGGGAAUGAAGGUCUUCGGAUUGUAAACCCCUGUCAUGUGGGAGCAAAUUAAAAAGAUAGUACCACACUAGGAAGAGACGGCUAACUCUGUGCCAGCAGCCGCGGUAAUACAGAGGUCUCAAGCGUUGUUCGGAAUCACUGGGCGUAAAGCGUGCGUAGGCUGUUUCGUAAGUCGUGUGUGAAAGGCGCGGGCUCAACCCGCGGACGGCACAUGAUACUGCGAGACUAGAGUAAUGGAGGGGGAACCGGAAUUCUCGGUGUAGCAGUGAAAUGCGUAGAUAUCGAGAGGAACACUCGUGGCGAAGGCGGGUUCCUGGACAUUAACUGACGCUGAGGCACGAAGGCCAGGGGAGCGAAAGGGAUUAGAUACCCUAGUAGUC